AGCAGCCGCGGUAAUUCCAGCUCCAAUAGCGUAUAUUAAAGUUGUUGCAGUUAAAAAGCUCGUAGUUGAAUUUCGGAGUUUGUCGGUUGGUCGGGCUUCACUGUCCGCACUGGCCUGAUGGAUUCCUACCUUCUGAAUAACCAGCAUGCUAUUAAUUUAGUGCGUUGGGGAAGCAGAGCUAUUACCUUGAAAAAAUUAGAGUGCUUAAAGCAGGCUUACGCUUGAAUAGAUUAGCAUGGAAUAAUAAAAUAGGACGGCUUGGUUCUAUUUUGUUGGUUUCUAGGAUCACCGUAAUGAUUAAUAGGGAUAGUUGGGGGCAUUAGUAUUCAAUUGUCAGAGGUGAAAUUCUUGGAUUUAUUGAAGACUAACUUCUGCGAAAGCAUUUGCCAAGGAUGUUUUCAUUAAUCAAGAACGAAAGUUAGGGGAUCGAAGACGAUCAGAUACCGUCGUAGUCUUAACCAUAAACUAUAGCCGACUAGGGAUCGGACGAUGUUAAUUUUUAAUGACUCGUUCGGCGCCU
rnacentral:rRNA from 1 species